UGCCCGUUAUAGAUCUUUCCUCUUUAGGAAACCCUUUGCUUCGAUCAACGGUUAUAGAACAAGUGCAUGUGGCAUGUAAGGAACUAGGUGCUUUUCAGGUACAUUACUUAUUAACAAACUAUACAUAUAGUUGCAUAAAAUCAGUUCAACUAUAAAACGAAGUUUUCCAAGAAAGUAAUUACUAGGCAGAGUAUUCUUUGUAUUGAAUAUAUUUAUUUCUUCACUUUUUUUUUUUUUUCCUUUUUUUUACUACGUGCAUGAGCAGACAUGUCGUCAACUUUUUUCUACGUCAUGCAUGCAUUUUUAACGUUACGAAAAUACGUACCACCUUAUGCAGGUGAUCAACCAUGGAAUUCCGAUCCCGAUUGUCGAUCAGGCACUAGAAGUUGCUGCGGAGUUUUUCGAUAUGCCGAACGAAAAAAAGAUGCGUAUUGCCUCUACUGAUGCUCGUGAGCCUGUAAGAUACGGGACCAGUCUGAAUUACAUCAAUGAUAAAGUUAAAUAUUGGAGAGACUUUAUCAAACACUACUCUAAUCCAAUCUCAAGAUGGAUCGAUUUGUGGCCGUCGGAUCCUCCAAGUUACAAGUAAUCAACUCACAAAGCUUCUCUUUUUUUUUUUAAAGUAAAACGGAGAAUAUUUAUUCUCGAAAUCUAAUGUAUUAUUUUUUGCAGGGAGAAAAUGGGGAACUACGCAAAGGCUGUGCAUAUCUUGCAUAAAGAGCUAAUGGAAGUAUUAUUCGAGAGCUUAGGUCUAAAACCAGACUACUUACAGAACGACAUCGAAGAAGGCUCACAGGUCAUGGCAGUAAACUUUUAUCCUGCUUGCCCAGAGCCGAAUCUAACACUAGGCCUUCCCCCACACUCGGAUUAUGGACUGUUAACCAUUUUACUCCAAAAUCAA
rnacentral:lncRNA from 1 species